rnacentral:pre_miRNA from 1 species
GUUGAGGGGAAUGUUGUCUGGUGUGAAAUCUUUCAUGUAUGUAUAUAUAAUAUACAUGUUCAACGAAAAUGGAUGAUUUCGGACCAGGCUUCAUUCCCCUCAAC